CAAAGGCCCCGUUUGCGAUGGGCUGGACCAGCUGCGCCAUCGAGAUCUUAUUCGCCGGCAGAAACACAAUGGAGGGGAUCUCGGCAGAGGCGCAGUAGGCGGACAGGGCGGCGGAGGUGUCACCGGUGGAGGCGCAUCCGACGCCGACGACGGGGCGGUUCAUUUUGAGGAGGCGAUUGACCUGGCUGACGAGGACGGUCAUGCCUAGGUCCUUGAAGGAGCCGGUGUGGCUAAUGCCGCAGUGCUUGACCCAGAGCUCGUUGCCGAGGACUGUUUUACCGUAGCGCUUGGCCCAGAAGAGGUUGGAGUUGCCCUCGAAGGCGGAGACGAUGUCGUCGCUGUCGAUCUCAGGGAGGACCCACUCCUUCUUGGACCAGACACGAGAGCUAUAGGGCCAGGUGGGUUUGCCGACGCGGGAGUCGAAGAGGUCGCGCCAAUACUUGCCGUCGUAGUUCUUGAGGGCGGCCAUGCCGUGCUGGACGUCGAGGAGGCCGCCGGACUGGGAGCGGUAGACGACCUCGUCGAGGGAGUAGGACUCGGACGACGUGUCGUCUGCGGGGGAGUUGAAGGGGACGUAGUUGGCGGAGAAGUGGUGGGUGUGGGUGGUGUUGUGGCUGUGGGCGUCGUCGCGGAUGUUGUCGCGGCAUUUGGCGGCG
rnacentral:lncRNA from 1 species